CACACAUGUUUUUGACUAAACCUUGUGAUAUGCUGCAAACUCCGAUAAAAUAACAUUUUGAUGAAAACACAAGUCUAAAGUUAGUCUUUGACAUGAUGUAUGAACGCUGCUUGGGGUAGUUCACCUUGUAUACACUUGUUAGCACUAGGUUGAUUUCCUGCUUAUACCUGCUAUGUGCUACUUUCAGUGGUGAACUCCUUCUUACAAUA
rnacentral:lncRNA from 1 species